rnacentral:rRNA from 1 species
GACGAACGCUGGCGGCGUGCUUAACACAUGCAAGUCGAACGGAAAGGCCCUGCUCUUGUGGGGUGCUCGAGUGGCGAGCGGGUGUGUAACACGCGAGUAAAAUGCACUUGACUUUGGGAUAACUCCAGGAAAAUGGGGCUCAUACCGGAUAGGAGCUCCUGCUGCAUGGUGGGGGAUGGAAAAUUUCGGCGGUUGGGGAUGGAUUGGAGGCUUAUCAGCUUGUUGGUGGGGUAGUGGCUUACCAAGGCUUUGAAGGGUAGCCCGCAUGGGAGCGGGACCGGCGACAAGGGGACUGAGAGACGGCCCAGACGCCUACGGGAGGCAGCAGGCGGGAAUAUGGCACAGUGGGCGCAAGCCUGAUGCAGAAGUCUCGCGUGCGUAAAAACGGCCUACGGGGGAUAAACCGCUGUCUCCGGUGACGAAGCGGGAGUGACGGUAACUAGUAAAGAAGCAACGGCUAACUACGUG